rnacentral:tRNA from 1 species
GGCUUGGUAGCUCAGUCGGUAGAGCAAAGGACUGAAAAUCCUUGUGUCGGCGGUUCGAUUCCUGCUCGAGCCACCA